GGAGAGUUGUCCGAGUGGUCGAAGGUGCAGCGCUCGAAACGCUGUAUUCCCAAAAGGAAUCUAGGGUUCGAAUCCCUAACUCUCCG
rnacentral:tRNA from 1 species